rnacentral:rRNA from 1 species
AUUGAACGCUGGCGGCAGGCCUAACACAUGCAAGUCGAACGAGUGGCGGACGGGUGAGUAAUGUCUGGGAAACUGCCCGAUGGAGGGGGAUACCUACUGGAAACGGUAGCUAAUACCGCAUACCAUCGGAUGUGCCCAGAUGGGAUUAGCUUGUGGGUGGGGUAACGGCUCACCUAGGCGACGAUCCCUAGAUGGUCUGAGAGGAUGACCGGCCAAACUGGAACUGAGACACGGUCCAGACUCCUACGGUAGUCAGCAGUGGGGAAGAUUGCACAAUGGGCGCAAGACUGAUGCAGCCAUGCCGCGUGUAUGAAGAAGUCUUUCGGGUUGUAAAGUACUUUCAGCGAGGAGGCGUUACUCGCAGAAGAAGCACCGGCUAACUCCGUGCCAGCAGCCGCGGUAAUAC